rnacentral:rRNA from 1 species
UACGGAGGGCGCAAGCGGUGUUCGGAAUCACUGGGCGUAAAGCGCGUGUAGGCGGCUUGGCAAGUCGGGUGUGAAAGCCCGGGGCCUAACCCCGGAACUGCAUUCGAAACUGCCUCGCUCGAGUCCCGGAGAGGAUGGUGGAAUUCCCGGUGUAGUGGUGAAAUACGUAGAUAUCGGGAGGAACACCAGCGGCGAAGGCGGCCAUCUGGACGGUGACUGACGCUGAGACGCGAAAGCGUGGGGAGCAAACAGG